CCCCCGAGUCACCCCCGUCCUCUCACUGUCCACCCCUGUGUCACCCCUGCCCCCGUCCUCUCACCGUCCACCCCCGAGUCACCCCCGUCCUCUCACUGUCCACCCCCGAGUCACCCCCGUCCUCUCACUGUCCACCCCCGAGUCACCCCCGUCCUCUCACUGUCCACCCCUGCACCAUCCCCCACCCCGUCCUCUCACCUCCUGAGGACAGGGAGACCACCUCUCCCCUGGGCUCUGGGUCAGACGGUGUGGACCCCUCACUGAACCAAAAGGUAAAGGGACUUCAGGAAACUGGGGCCCGGGGGUGCAGCUGUCCCCUGCUCUGGAGCACGGCCAGGAAUCAGGGUCAAGUCUGGAGUUGCCCUCUAAGGCCAGUCUUGCUGGGACUGACCCACGGAGUCCUCCAGGGGUGCAGGGAGGCACUGACACCCCCCCAUGGCUCAGCCCCCCAUGGUGUAGGACCCCCACCGCUGCGUAGGGUAGACCUCAAUGGGGACCGUUCUGGCCUCGCCUGCCCUGCAGACGGUGAGGAGACUCGGAGUCGACGCAGCCCGAGGCCCCCUGAGGUGGGGCAAUGUGGACGGGUAGGAGCCCACUUGUUUUCUAGGCAGCUGCUCUGAGUGGGCACCAUGGUAAGUGCAUUGCCCUAUUUAACUUCUGGAAGCAUCUAAGGAGGCAGGGGCCACGCUUUAUGCUGAUCAGGCAGCUGUCCCAGGUGUGCACGUGCAGGACUGGUGAGGGCCUGGGGGGACACCCUGUCCGUCUGCUGGUAGGCAAGGCACGGAGCAGGUCAGAGCUUCUCCAGGACGGGGCGUCUGGUCAGGGCCCAGGUGUGUCAGGGAACAGGGCUGCUCUUACGACCUCUGCAUUCUUGGCCCCAAAGUUUGCCUGCAAAGCUGUUUUGCUCUUUGACGAGAAAGACCAUCAGUUAAGAUUUCUGGAACUAAUUUUUGUUUAACAGAAAAAGAAAAUAAAUACAGUUCCUGUUAUUCCCAGCGCUCAGGGGCCUGUGCGGCCAGCCUAGGUAAAUAUUUGGAGUUUGUUUGCACAGAGGAUCCUGUUCCACGAGGAGAAUUUCUUCUUUCUUUUUCAAAGCAGCUGCUGAAGUUUAGAAACACGUCUGUGUUAUCUGUGCAUCCAACUUAACUGAGCGAUGGCUUAGUGGAGACCACCGUCCAGCCAGGGGAGCCCGCGGGCAGGACACUCAGCUUCAGGCCUAAGGCUCCUGUGCACGCGCAGGUCCACCUGUUUCACCAAGGCCAGGGGUGCUCCCCCGCCAGCUGACUUCCUCACGGAUGCUGACGUCCCUCCCUAACCCUCCUGCUCUCUUUAGGCAAGUACGACCAUCUCCUGUUUUUUAAACUGGUCACAACAAACACAUAACACUUUUAAAACAGAAAGAGAAAAGAGACAAAUCACUUAGCAAAAGUCAGCAACAAUAGUCAUAAGUCAAAAAACACUCAGGGGACAGCCUGGUGGGGACGCUUCAGACCAUGCAAAAGUAACUGCUGCACCCAAGGCCAGCCUCAGGAUGUUUCUUCAGAGGAACAGAAAGUGGACACAUAGGCCCGUGGACCAUGCGGUCCCUGUGGCAGCAGCUGAUAACACUGUCCCAGCAGGAAUACCACACACAGUGUUCCCAUGUGUGACGAGGAUAUCCACACAGCGCAUGACAGAGUGGCCAUGCUCAGGGAAGCUACUGUGGACACGGAAAUUUGAUUAGAAAUGAUCUUUUUUUCUUUUUUUUGGUACCGGGGAUUGAACCCAGGAUUGCUUAACCAUUGAGCCACAUCCCAGCCCUGUUUAUAUUUUGUUUUAGAGACAGGGUCUCAAUGAGUUGCUUAGGGCCUUGCUAAGUUGCUGAAGCUGGCUUUUAAGUCACGAUCCCCCUGCAUCAGCCUCCUGAGCUGGGGUACAGGCACGUGCCACCCCGCGCAGCAAACAUGAUUUUUAUGUGUCACAAAAUAUUAUUCUUCCUUUGAUUUUUUUCCCAACCUUUUAACAAUUUAAGAACUCUAGGCCAUGCAUGUUAGAAGAUCAAGCAGUCAAGACAUUGAACUUCAGAAAAAUACAGCCCUCUCAUCCAUCGUGGGUGGGUGGACCCCAGGAACAAGGCUUGGUUAAGGGAAAUCAGUGCUUCCCAAGGUUGAGAAAGGCAGAGAAGUGACCUGCUGAGCCACGUGGCUGCGGCUCCUUCUCCCGUCUUGCAGCAGAAGCAGGGCCCGCAAACCAGCCCUUCCCAACUGCGCUCACAGAAAGGAUGUGGCUGCCCCUUGUCCUGGCCCUCCUCUUAGUUCCAAGGUCCAGGUGAAGGUAGCCAUUUAGCCCCUCAGAUACCAACAGAUAGGCGGUGACUGGCCACUCCAUGUGGCAGGGACAUCCAGUCAACCCUGCUCCCCGCCUCCUGGCCCACGAUGCGUGUCCAGAAUGAGGCUGUCAGGGAGAUGUGCAAGAUGUCCCCUGCUCAGAGUUCCUCUAACCCUUGGGGGACAGGCUCCCUCAGGCUGAGGAGUGGCCCAGCCCAGGGUGACCUUCGGGAGCUGGUGUGGCCUUGCCAUGGAGCGUGCAUCUUGGGCACGGGACCACUGUCCCAUGCAGCCAGGGCUGGGACAGGGUGCUCAGCCGCACACAGUGGCCACUGUGGAGCAGCACAAGUUGGGCUUGCUCACUGUGACCUGUCCUGGGACAAGAGGGACCUGGAACGGUAGGGAGGGCCAAGAUGGCUCAGAGGGUGGGCAGGAGCGUGUUGGCCACGGCUGACGGCCUGCACACUGCAGGGGGCACACAGGCUGGACACAGAAGCCACACCUUUCUGCUGUGGCCACCUGACGUGACUUCACUGGACAGUGCCACCGUGAGGGAGCCCAAAGCUGCUCUUCGGUCCAGACCACGUGUUUUUCACAGAUAUCACUUUGAUGUAAUUUUCCAGAAUCUUCGGCCAGUCUCUGUGGAUCCAUUAAAAUGAAAGCCUCAUAAGAGCCAAGAAGAACCGUGGGUGUGGACACAGGCAGGAUGUGGCUGCUGGCCCUUGGCAAGCCCAGCUUUGCAAAUUUGCUGUUUUCUUUCCCUUUGCCCAGCAUUCUGCGUUCUAAAGAGAAGUCACAUCUAAACAACGCCGAUGCGAACUGCCGGCGUCAGCCAUUCUGGGGAGAAGGACAGAGGAAAACAGUCACGUGACCUGUUUGUCAGUAAUCUCUAGGUUUUCAGAAUCCAGAACAUCUGGCGACUUUCAGAUAACAUCAGAAUGUGCACCAAAGAAAUGACCACCAGUGCUCAUGAUUACUCUGGCACCCGCCCAUCGUGGCCCCAGUCCCCUCCGCCCCCCAGGCCGGCUCUCUGCUGGCGGUUGAAGCUGAGAUGUUCCUAGGGCCAUGGCCAGGCCAUCUUCAGGCCAGCCAGCUCCACCCUCCUCUCUGCCCCCGUCUUGCCUCUUCACUAAUUGGCACCCAGCUUGUGGACCCAUCCGAGGCCGACGUUAGGGCAGGAGUGACCGUGCACUCACUCUCUGCUCAGAAGGACCAAGAACUGCUGGGUUGCAGGUACCGGCCACCUGGAUGUGCCCCAGCAAGCCUGAUUCCUCCAGGGCUGGGCACAUGCUACAGGACAAAGUGUUGCCUUCUCCAGAUUAGGACGGUGCCUGCGGAUUUGAAACAAGUCUGUCCUUGCUGGAGCUCUCUCUCUUGAGAAGCUGUUUAUGAUAAUGUUUGUUCAGAAUGUUGUUGUCUCUUUUACCAAAAACAGCAAAAUCAUACCAAAAGAGCACUAGAGAACACAAGUGUCAGAGGCCGCGUCACGCAGGCCGGGAGGAGGUGGGCUGGGUGCUGCGGUCUCCCUGUUCUUUCAGAGCCAGGUAAUGGGAGUCAGGCAGGAAGGAGGCCUCUGCUGUCCUGGAGGCCCAGGCCCGAGGCCUGACUCUGGGGUUCCGUCCCAACAAAUCAGGUCUGGCCACUUACCCCAAAGCCAGACAGAGGUGAUCAUGAGAAGCAGGAAGGACGCUUGGGUCAGCACAGCUAUACCAGGACGGAAGGGGACUAGCGUCCCCAGCCUGGGCUCACAGGUCAUCCAGACGAGGGGACAGAAGCCUGCGCAGUCAGGUGGUCCUGGUGGAAGGUGGUCGGCUGGUCAUUGUGGUAGGAGUGUCAGGUGGGGCCUUGCUCAGCAGUAACAAGGGAGCAGCUAUUACCUGGGGUGGCCUCCACUCAUCUCUGGGUGGUGUUUAUCUGUCAGAGCUGUGGUCCUGCAUCCCGAGGUGACCGGACCAGUCAAACGCACAGUGGGGGCAGAGAUGCCAAAGUCCCCACCUGGCCUUUAGAUGCCCCUGGAUGCUCGCAGGCCCUGGGGAAGAGUCCGCCUGUAGGUCCUUGCCACAUGCCAGCCAGCUGUGCUCUGGAAAGGCCCACCAUCCUGGGCUUAGAUCAGAUGGGCAGCUAUGUGGGCAGGAGGCCAGCUGGGCCUGACCCCAAGCACACUGAAGCCACAGGCGGCUUCCUCUGGAGGCAGCAGACCUCCCUGCUGGGCAGAGACGCAUGAUGAGCUGCCAGUUUGGUAAGAGAAAACAUGUUUGAAUUUGUUUUAAGAAAUCGACAUAAGAAAUCAUCUAUGCUACUAUUCCUCGUGCUCAUGGGUGGUGAAACCAGCACGAAACCAGAUUCUCUGCUUCUGCUGGGGGUGGGUCUUUGUGAGCUGCGGACUGUGCUCUGAGAAAGCCCGGUUUAGGGUCAGCAGCCGAUCAAGGCAGGGGCCGCCUGUCAGCUCCCAGGGUCCAGCCAGUGUCCUCCGCUGCCUCUGAGGGGUGCGUGGCAGCUCUGAUGGUGGGCUGUGCGCCCCAGGGCUGCCGCCAACCCCAGCAGCCCACUGCCAGUGUCUUCCUGGGCUCCUGUCCCGCGAAUUUGAAGAAGGAAAUCCACAGGCACCAACGGAAGGCGAGUGAGAGGCACGGGUUUAUUCAGUGUGGGGACAGAAACACCUCCCAGGCCAGGGCACCCGCUGGCAGGUUGUGCUGUUCUAGGGGUUUCCAUCACAGGGACUGGUCCAAAUCCAUGGUAAACAGGUAUUGGGAGGUGUAAAGGCUACUGGUUAAAGUCUGUCAAGGGGUUAUUGGCAAAGUUCCAAGGCCAUGGCUCAGCAUGACCUCCCCUUGGCUGGGCCCUUUGAGCCCUUGUGUUGAACUUUCCUGUAACCUCCACUUGGAUCCAGCCCACUGCCAUCCUCCCGGGCACCAGGACAGAGACUUAGCUGGGACGUUUGGAAUGUUUCCAAGGGUUGACCCCAGGGAGUGGCCUUACAUUUAAAGAAAUCUAUAAUUGGGACCUGUUAAUUAUCUUAUUCAGUUGCAAGUAAAUAAUUUUUCAUACCUGACAGAUUUUUAAAUAAAUAUUUGAUGAUCCAAGCAAUAAUAAUUAAAUAAAUAUGUUUUUCUAGAGGAGCCCUUGGACUGUUGGAGAUGGGAAUUGUGAGUGGGCCGAGGUCCAGCGGAAGGGCUCAGGGUCUAUAUAGCUGUUCUGCAUGAGCCUUCCCUUAGGAAACCCUGCCCCUCAAGGAGCCCUUGGGGACCUGGCCAGAUGUGGAGUCAGGCUCCGGCCUUCUCUUCCAGGAUGGUGUCUGGUGAGGCUGUUUAAUGUCUCCAGUCAUAAUGUUGGUUUAGAAAAUAACAAUAAUAUAACAAACAAACAGUCUCAAAAGUUAUUUGUUUUAAAUCCUGGCUAUAGAGAGUGAAGGCUGAGCAAUUUAAACUCGUCAUUAGUAACUGAAACUAGUCCAAUCUGACAUCUGUCUUCCACCAGGCAGGAGGAGGAGGAGGAGGAGGAGGAAGAGGU
rnacentral:lncRNA from 1 species